AGCGAACGCUGGCGGCAGGCCUAAUACAUGCAAGUCGAACGGAUCCUUCGGGAUUAGUGGCGGACGGGUGAGUAACACGUGGGAACGUGCCCUUUGGUUCGGAACAACUCAGGGAAACUUGAGCUAAUACCGAAUGUGCCCUUCGGGGAAAGGAUUUAUCGCCAUUGGAGCGGCCCGCGUCUGAUUAGCUAGUUGGUGAGGUAAAGGACUCACCAAGGCUACGAUCAGUAGCUGGUCUGAGAGGAUGAUCAGCCACACUGGGACUGAGACACGGCCCAGACUCCUACGGGAGGCAGCAGUGGGGAAGUAUUGGUACAAUGGGCGCAAGCCUGAUCCAGCCAUGCCGCGUGGAUGAUGAAGGCCCUAGGGUUGUAAAGU
rnacentral:rRNA from 1 species